rnacentral:sRNA from 1 species
GUGAAGGAUGAGGCACCAAAAGAAGGUAGUGAAACUGAAGCUUCACCAGAAGCCAAGACAAAAGGAUCUAUGGUAUUCCAUGCUCUUGGAGCCAUUUCCACAGUUGUUCUCGCCGGCAUUAUG